UGCCUCAGUAACGGCGAGUGAAGCGGCAACAGCUCAAAUUUGAAAUCUGGCCCCCAGGCCCGAGUUGUAAUUUGUAGAGGAUGAUUCUGGCGACGCGCCUUCCGAGUUCCCUGGAACGGGACGCCAUAGAGGGUGAGAGCCCCGUCCGGUCGUGCGCCUAGCCUCUGUGAAUCUCCUUCGACGAGUCGAGUAGUUUGGGAAUGCUGCUCUAAAUGGGAGGUAUACGUCUUCUAAAGCUAAAUACCGGCCAGAGACCGAUAGCGCACAAGUAGAGUGAUCGAAAGAUGAAAAGCACUUUGAAAAGAGGGUUAAAAAGUACGUGAAAUUGCUGAAAGGGAAGCGCUUAUGACCAGACUUGGGCGUGGUGAAUCAUCCGGCGUUCUCGCCGGUGCACUUUGCCUGUCCAGGCCAGCAUCAGUUCGCUUCGGGGGAUAAAGGCUUCGGGAAUGUAGCUCCCUCGGGAGUGUUAUAGACCGUUGCGUAAUACCCUGGGGCGGACUGAGGUACGCGUUCUGCAAGGAUGCUGGCGUAAUGGUCAUCAGUGACCCGUCUUGAAACACGGACCAAGGAGUCGUCUUCGUAUGCGAGUGUUCGGGUGUCAAACCCCUACGCGUAAUGAAAGUGAACGUAGGAGAGAGCUUCGGCGCAUCUCCGACCGAUCCUGAUGUUCUCGGAUGGAUUUGAGUAAGAGCAUACGGGGCCGGACCCGAAAGAAGGUGAACUAUGCCUGUAUAGGGUGAAGCCAGAGGAAACUCUGGUGGAGGCUCGCAGCGGUUCUGACGUGCAAAUCGAUCGUCAAAUAUGGGCAUGGGGGCGAAAGAC
rnacentral:rRNA from 1 species